rnacentral:rRNA from 1 species
AUGAAGAAGAAUCUGCAGUUGCCUCAAACCAAGGAGAAGAUGGUGAGUGAAGAUGCUGAAGUAAAUAUGGUCAAGGAAGCUGUGCUUCAAACUGAUAUGCCAACAGUAGUGAGCAGAGAGCCAACCAAUGUUAGAGAAGUUCAACAGAUCAAGGGGAAGACUCCCCUUUCAACAGUCCCACCAAAACCACCUAAGCAGAAGAUUGUCAAGUUUGCCAGGGGCGCAAAGGGGGAACAUGCCACAAAAGAUUUGGGGUUCAGAGACGAGAGAGAGUUGCGAGCCGCAGCCAUUGAUGCAGGGGUGCCAAGUUCUGCCAGGUUGCUGCCAACUCAGACUAGAAAGAUGCCAACUACAGAUACCAGUGUGCCAACUCAUGUGUCAGUUAGCAGUAUGGUCACAGUCAAAACCACCACAGCUGGUCAGGAAGGCACCACUGCAACUACAAGUCCCAAGGUGCCUACUGAUAGAGAUGCUUCAAUGCCAAACACAAAAGGAGGUGAUCCAACUAUCAAAGUGCCGUCCCUAAGAGUUGUCUUUCAGCAACCAUUAACACAAGAGGAGGUGUUCGACAUUAUAAGUAGGUGCAAGCCUCCAAGGCCGCCAACUACAACACUAUUGCGAACCAAGUCAGUGAAUGAUGCACCCAUGUUUGUGCCGCAAGGAGAUGCCCUGGUCCUUGAACCCUUACGAAGAUCAAACUCUUAUCAUGGUGACGGGUUCUGCGAUGCACCAUCUUUUGACCUCGGCAUAGAUGGUGAUGCUCUAGCACCUGCUCCAGCAGUAGAUACAGCGGAAGCCGAUGUGAUUAGCAUCGAUGAGUGUGAGUUAGACCCAGCAGCUGUGAAUGAAGGAUGUGAUGCUGCUGAUGUUGGCAAGGCAAUAGCUCAAGAACUAGAUGUUGGUUCACCAGAGAAUUGCCACACCCCAAUAUGCGCAGAACCAGAACUUGGCACGAGCAGUUCUUCGGGGCCACCUCUUGCACGAAGAUAG